CUGCAGCACGCGCCUAAC
rnacentral:snRNA from 1 species